rnacentral:lncRNA from 1 species
AACAGUUGAUGCCAAUGAGCUGCCCCUGCAUGCCAGGAUCCAAGCAACGCACUGAGAAAUGAGCACCGAAUGUUACCGACUCAUAUGUUAUACUUCUCUUUCCUCAUGCCUACUAAAAAUACAAAAAUUAGCCAGGUGUGGUGGCGCAUGCCUGUAAUCCCAUCUAUUCAGGAGGCUGAGGCAGGAGAAUUGCUUGAACCUGGGAGGCAGAAGCUGCAGUGAGCUGAGAUCGCGCCACUGUGCGUGAGCCACUGCACCUGGCCUCAUAACUUUUUUUUAAUAAUGCAUAGAAAUGUGAAUUUUCUGACCUACCUAGGAAA